GGACUACCGGGGUUUCUAAUCCUGUUUGCUCCCCCGGCUUUCGCGACUCAGCGUCAAUAACGGUCCAGUCACCUGCUUUCGCCUUCGGUGUUCCUCCUGAUAUCUACGCAUUUCACCGCUACACCAGGAAUUCCAGUGACCUCUCCCGUAUUCAAGUCCGGCAGUAUCCAUUGGCCUCCCCGGGUUAAGCCCGGGGCUUUCACAACAGACUCACCGAACCGCCUGCUCGCGCUUUACGCCUAGUAAUUCCGAGUAACGCUCGCCACCUUCGUCUUACCGCGGCUGCUGGCAC
rnacentral:rRNA from 1 species